GCCGAGGUGGCGGAAUGGUAUACGCGGUAGUCUCAAAAACUACUGGUCGCAAGACCUUGAGAGUUCGAGUCUCUCCCCCGGUACAA
rnacentral:tRNA from 1 species